AAAAAAAUGGCUUCGGAAUCAUCGUCGGCGGUAUCCCCGAUGACGGUGGAAGAGUUGACGCUGGCGGUGAAAUGGAGCGGUAAAGAGCACACGGUCAGAGUCUGCGGCGAUGACACCGUCGGCGAGUUGAAACGACGGAUAUGUGAAGUCACAAAUGUUUUACCUAAACGCCAGAAGCUUCUAUACCCAAAAGUUGGUGCAAAACUCGCUGAUGAUUCUCUUCUUCUAUCUCAAAUUCCUCUCAAAUCCUCCUUCAAAAUGACUAUGAUCGGGACAGUUGAAGAUGAUAUAAUUGUGGAU
rnacentral:misc_RNA from 1 species